CAAGCAGGUCUCCCUGUCGCUCCGGUUAUCCGGGGAGGAAAGUCCGAACACCGAAGUGCAGCAUAGCGGGUAACGCCCGUCUCCCGUGUUAACGGGAAGGACAAGUGCAACAGAAAGGAUGUACAGGUUAUGCUGUAGUGAAAUCAGGUAAACUCUAUGCGGUGAAACGCCAUGUAAAUCAGCGAUUGAGGGCUGCACGCCCGAGCUGAAGGGUAGGCGGAUAGAACCAGGGGGUAACUCCUGGUCCAGAUAAAUGAUAGGGGAGCCCUCAGGGCUUAACAGAAUUCGGCUUAUGACCUGCUUUUUAU
rnacentral:RNase_P_RNA from 2 species